rfam:Felis catus isolate Cinnamon breed Abyssinian chromosome A1, whole genome shotgun sequence.
AUCGCCUCUUGGCCUUUUGGCUCAGAUCAAGCGUCGUGUCUGUUCUUACCAGUUUUAUAACUGAUACAUCCUCUCUCUGAGGGCAAUAUAUUAAAUGGAUUUGGGGAGCAGGGAGAUGGCCUAGGAGCUUGCUCCGUCCCCUCCAUGCAUCGAGCUGGUUAAAAAAAACGAGAAGAGGGGCGCCUGGG